rnacentral:rRNA from 1 species
AACGAACGCUGGCGGCAGGCUUAACACAUGCAAGUCGAACGGGCACCUUCGGGUGUCAGUGGCAGACGGGUGAGUAACGCGUGGGAACGUACCCUUCGGUUCGGAAUAACCCAGGGAAACUUGGGCUAACACCGGAUACGUCCGCAAGGAGAAAGAUUUAUCGCCGAAGGAUCGGCCCGCGUCGGAUUAGCUAGUCGGUGGGGUAAUGGCCCACCAAGGCGACGAUCCGUAGCUGGUCUGAGAGGAUGANCAGCCACACUGGGACUGAGACACGGCCCAGACUCCUACGGGAGGCAGCAGUGGGGAAUAUUGGACAAUGGGCGAAAGGCCUGAUCCAGCCAUGCCGCGUGAGUGAAGAAGGCCUUAGGGUUGUAAAGCUCUUUCAGCGGGGAAGNUAAUGACGGUACCCGCAGAAGAAGUCCCGGCUAACUUCGU